GACGAACGCUGGCGGCGUGCUUAACACAUGCAAGUCGAACGGAAAGGCCCCUUUGGGGGUACUCGAGUGGCGAACGGGUGAGUAACACGUGAGUAACCUGCCCUUGACUUCGGGAUAACUUCAGGAAACUGGGGCUAAUACCGGAUAGGAAUCCUUGCUGCAUGGUGGGGGUUGGAAAGCUUCGGCGGUUUUGGAUGGACUCGCGGCUUAUCAGCUUGUUGGUGGGGUAGUGGCUUACCAAGGCUUUGACGGGUAGCCGGCCUGAGAGGGCGACCGGCCACAGUGGGACUGAGAUACGGCCCAGACUCCUACGGGAGGCAGCAGUGGGGAAUAUUGCACAAUGGGCGGAAGCCUGAUGCAGCAACGCCGCGUGCGGGAUGACGGCCUUCGGGUUGUAAACCGCUUUCGGCAGGGGCGAAGCUUGUGGUGACGGUACCUGCAGAAGAAGCACCGGCUAACUACGUG
rnacentral:rRNA from 1 species